rnacentral:rRNA from 1 species
AGCGAACGCUGGCGGCAGGCUUAACACAUGCAAGUCGAGCGGGCACUUCGGUGUCAGCGGCAGACGGGUGAGUAACACGUGGGAACGUACCCUUCGGUUCGGAAUAACGCUGGGAAACUAGCGCUAAUACCGGAUACGCCCUUUUGGGGAAAGGUUACUGCCGAAGGAUCGGCCCGCGUCUGAUUAGCUAGUUGGUGGGGUAAUGGCCUACCAAGGCGACGAUCAGUAGCUGGUCUGAGAGGAUGAUCAGCCACACUGGGACUGAGACACGGCCCAGACUCCUACGGGAGGCAGCAGUGGGGAAGUAUUGGACAAUGGGCGCAAGCCUGAUCCAGCCAUGCCGCGUGAGUGAUGAAGGCCUUAGGGUUGUAAAGCUCUUUUGUCCGGGACGAUAAUGACGGUACCGGAAGAAUAAGCCCCGGCUAACUUCGUGCCAGCAG